GAAAUGCGAUAACUAGUGUGAAUUGCAGAAUUCCGUGAAUCAUCGAGUCUUUGAACGCACAUUGCGCCCCCUGGUAUUCCGGGGGGCAUGCCUGUCCGAGCGUCAUUGCUGCCCAUCAAGCACGGCUUGUGUGUUGGGUCGUCGUCCCCUCUCCGGGGGGGACGGGCCCCAAAGGCAGCGGCGGCACCGCGUCCAAUCCUCGAGCGUAUGGGGCUUUGUCACCCGCUCUGUAGGCCCGGCCGGCGCUUGCCGAACGCAAAUCAAUCUUUUUCCAGGUUGACCUCGGAUCAGGUAGGGAUACCCGCUGAACUUAAGC
rnacentral:misc_RNA from 1 species